GUGAUGAAGAGAACCCGAAGGAUGUGUGACUGGCGGCAUCCUAUCUGA
rnacentral:snoRNA from 2 species